rnacentral:snRNA from 1 species
GUGCUCGCUUCAGCAGCACAUAUACUAAAAUGGGAAUGAUACAGAGAAGAUUAGCAUGGUCCCUGCACAAGGAUGACAUGCAAAUUCGUGAAGCGUUCCAUAUAUUU